GUCUAGAAAUUUGCGCAAUGGGCGCAAGCCUGACGCAGCGACGCCGCGUGAGGGAUGAAGUCCUUCGGGAUGUAAACCUCUGUUAGGAGGGACGAUGUCUCGCCGCUUAUCACGGUGGGAUGACGGUACCUUCAGAGAAAGCCACGGCUAACUCCGUGCCAGCAGCCGCGGUAAUACGGAGGUGGCAAGCGUUGUCCGGAAUCACUGGGUGUAAAGGGUGUGUAGGCGGUCCAAUAAGUUGAAUGUGAAAUCCCCCAACUCAAUUGAGGAACGGCAUUCAAUACUGUUGGGCUAGAGGACGGGAGAGGAGAGUAGAACUUGCGGUGUAGCGGUAGAAUGCGUAGAUAUCGCAAGGAAUGCCGAUGGCGAAGGCAGCUCUCUGGAACGCUCCUGACGCUGAGACACGAAAGCUGGGGGAGCAAACAGGAUUAGAAACCCGUGUAGUCC
rnacentral:rRNA from 1 species